rnacentral:rRNA from 1 species
GGUGGGCACUCUAAGGAGACUGCCGGUGACAAACCGGAGGAAGUGGGGAUGACGUCAAGUCAUCAUGGCCCUUACGGCCUGGGCUACACACGUGCUACAAUGGUCGGUACAAAGGGUUGCCAAGCCGCGAGGUGGAGCUAAUCCCAUAAAACCGAUCGUAGUCCGGAUCGCAGUCUGCAACUCGACUGCGUGAAGUCGGAAUCGCUAGUAAUCGUGAAUCAGAAUGUCACGGUGAAUACGUUCCCGGGCCUU